rnacentral:tRNA from 1 species
GCCUGGCUAGCUCAGUCGGUUGAGCAUGCGACUCUUGAUCUCAGGGUUGUAAGCUCGAGCCCCAUGUCAGGUG